UAGCCAGAUUGACCAGGGCAUGGUCGAGGU
rnacentral:sRNA from 1 species